CUAACUCUGAGAUUAAAUGCUCUUCAGGUGGGACAGCAGAAAAAAUGGGCCGGAGUUAAGUGAAACAAAGUCAGCCGUGUCGGGGGCAGCAGGAGGCUUCCCUGCUCGCCUUUUCCUCUCAGAACACAGACCAGGUGGGGCAUCUUCUCUCGGAAGAUCCCUCGCUGCUGGGGAGGCAGAAGCUACUAAAAAUGACUUAUGGCUGUUAAACGGUGCACUCACAGGCAAGAGGGACCUGGGGAAUGCACCCGCCAGCCAGGGAGGAGCUCUUUUGCUGUCCUGCUGUCCACAGCCGUUUCCUGGGGUCAUCUGCCGGCUUUGAUAUCUCAGAGGUGGAGUUAUUCCGGUUGGCACUUUUGAGACUGGGAGCUGGGAAGCUGUCGGCUCAUUUACGACUGUGGAGCCCCAAGAUAGGUGCCCCCAGAUCAAGGUUGAAGGGCUUCUGGAGUUUGGGAUCCAACAAGGAGAAUUCAACUAUAGAGUCCCAAAGAGAGAAGGAGUGGACGCUUUGUUGGAUAAAUGAAUGCGGCCUUUCUUGUGUCCAAAUACCAUGGAGGUAUCCACAUCUGCCACUUCCAUGGAGAAAGCGCGGGGUCUGGACAGAGCGGCCCACAGUAAAGGCCCUGCAGAGGAGUGUGACCAGAGGGCCCUGAGGGAGUGGACUGACCGAAGACCAUGCGGCCACGCACGGCUCCCGGGUUUGGGUGGAUGAGAGUAGUCCCUGCAGAAGUUUGGGGUCAGGGCUGGUUAACUCCUUCCCCACAACCCCACGACCAGGUUAUGAUGCAAGCAAGUCUCCAUGCAAAUUCUGCCCCAGAGAGACAUGUAAAUCCA
rnacentral:lncRNA from 1 species